GGGAUAUUAAACUACUCUAACUUUUUUGAGUUGAGCUGGAAUGGCUAGAUAGAAUAAGACUGAAAAAGAAAGCUUGGAAGUUUGUCCUGUGAAGCCAUUAGAACCUCCUGGCAGAUGACAAAAUAUAUUUGGAUACGGAUGUCUCCAGGACGUUAGUGCCAAGGCUCCAGAGAACGCGCGACUGCAUCAGCUUGAAUGCCUGCUUCUGACUCCUCUGGACACCGUCAGAGAUCUUAGAACUCAUCUCUUUAACAUGGGAUCCAUGCCCAGGACCAGAUCCCUGACUUCUCUAUAAACUACCAGUGCUGUGACACUGCAGCAACCCUCAGCUAACAGAAGCAUGAAAGGGCUCAAGCAGAACCAAACCCAGAUUUGGGAUUUCUGCUUUUGCAUCUUCCUCAUUCUCUCUUCGCCUGCUGCCAUCCAUGUAAGACAUGAUUGUGAGACUUCCCCAGCCACAUGGACCUGAGGGAUGUUCUCCAUCUUAAAAAUCCUAAAUCAAAACUAUAUAAUCGAACAAGCUGUUCACUUAAAAAUUCAAUUAUCAAAAUGGCUCAAAAACCAAGAGCAUGUUUCUUCAAGGGACAUGGAUGAACCUGGAAACCAUCAUUCUCAGCAAACUGACACAAGAACAGAAAAUCAAACACCACCUUCUCACUCAUAGCUUUAACUGUGCCAUUUACUUACCCAGAUUCAGUCUGACACAGAUGUUUUCAACAGUGCUUUGUGCCUUAUUUACUUUAUUCAGUAGAGAAUUCACAGGAAAAUGUAGCUUCCUGUAGCUUCUGGAAACCAGUAUGGAAACAUGGAAGCUAAAGCAAGUAUUUCUUUAACUGCUGAACACCCAAAACCACAUUAUGUCAAGAGGAUGGUUUUCCUAAUCAUCAUCCAAUAUGAAAAUAACAUUACCGUAACACAACCCACAUAGGUGGGUGUGUGCUGCUUCUGGCUACAGAUUUCUACGUGGAGAUGCCAUGGAGGCCGAUCUACAAAAUGCAGAUGUGUCAACAGAAGGCAUAAAUGAUGGAUACAAAUGACUCUUCAAUGGAAAUUUUAUGUCAUAAAAAUGGCAAAAAUGAAAGUGAUGCAUCAGGGUAUAAGCUGAAAGCACAAUAGAAGAUGCCAAGCCAAAACAAGAACCAGAAGAUGUCGAGGGAAUGAUUCCAAAGAACUUGCCAUGGGUUUCAAUAGAGAAUCCUGGUGAUGACUGAUUUUGUUUGUAUCAUCAAGGCUUCCCAGUAAAUUCACAUUACAUAUAUAUUUUAUUAUUUCUUAAUGAUUUUUGCCAUUCUUUAAAAAAAGAGAAUGCAUUGCAAAACCUAAUUUAGGACAUAAAAGUUAAUAAAUUGUUUGUUUAAAUUCA
rnacentral:lncRNA from 13 species